CCCUGUGGCUCAGUUGGUAGAGCAUGGUGUUUGCAACGCCAGGGUAGUGGGUUCGAUUCCCACAGGGG
rfam:Salmo salar isolate Sally breed double haploid chromosome ssa08, whole genome shotgun sequence.